ACCAGACUCCUACGGGAGGCAGCAGUGAGGAAUAUUGGUCAAUGGCCGAGAGGCUGAACCAGCCAAGUCGCGUGAGGGAAGAAUGUCCUAAGGAUUGUAAACCUCUUUUGUCGGGGAGCAAAAAGGCUCUGCGGAGUCGUAUUGAGAGUACCCGAAGAAAAAGCAUCGGCUAACUCCGUGCCAGCAGCCGCGGUAAUACGGAGGAUGCGAGCGUUAUCCGGAUUUAUUGGGUUUAAAGGGUGCGCAGGCGGCGUGUCAAGCAAGCGGUAAAAUAGCGGGGCUCAACCCCGUCGAGCCGUUUGAACUGGCGCGCUUGAGUUCAGGCGAGGUAGGCGGAAUUCGUGGUGUAGCGGUGAAAUGCAUAGAUAUCACGAAGAACUCCGAUUGCGAAGGCAGCUUACCAGUCUGCGACUGACGCUCAGGCACGAAAGUGUGGGUAUCGAACAGGAUUAGAUACCCUGGUAGUCCACACAGUAAACGAUGAGCGCUAGGUGUCCGGGUCGCAUGAGACUUGG
rnacentral:rRNA from 1 species